GUAUAAGAGACAGCAGUAGCCGCGGGAAUACGAAGGGUGCAAGCGUUACUCGGAAUUACUGGGCGUAAAGCGUGCGUAGGUGGUUGUUUAAGUCUGCUGUGAAAGCCCUGGGCUCAACCUGGGAAUUGCAGUGGAUACUGGGCGACUAGAGUAAGGUAGAGGAUAGUGGAAUUUCCGGUGUAGCAGUGAAAUGCGUAGAGAUCGGAAGGAACAUCUGUGGCGAAGGCGACUAUCUGGGCCAUUACUGACACUGAGGCACGAAAGCGUGGGGAGCAAACAGGAUUAGAUACCCCAGUAGUCCCUGUCUCUUAUAC
rnacentral:rRNA from 1 species